rnacentral:rRNA from 1 species
AACGAACGCUGGCGGCAUGCCUAACACAUGCAAGUCGAACGAGACCUUCGGGUCUAGUGGCGCACGGGUGCGUAACGCGUGGGAAUCUGCCCUUGGGUUCGGGAUAACAGUUGGAAACGACUGCUAAUACCGCAUGAUGACUUCGGUCCAAAGAUUUAUCGCACAGGGAUGAGCCCGCGCCGGAUUAGCUAGUUGGUGUGCCAAAGGCACACCAAGGCGACGAUACGUAGCUUGUCUGAGAGGAUGAUGAGCCACACUGGGACUGAGACACGGCCGAGACGCAUACGGGAGGCAGCAGGGGCGAAUAUUGGACAAUGGGCGAAAGCCAGAUCCAGCAAUGCCGCGUGAGUGAUGAAGGCCUUAGGGUUGUAAAGCUCUUUUACCCGGGAUGAUAAUGACAGUACCGGGAGAAUAAGCCCCGGCUAACUCCGUGCCAGCAGCCGCAGUAAUAC